UUGAAACUUUCUGUAUUUUUAGACAUCAAAGAGCUAAGACUAGCGGGACAUAAACAAUGAAGUCGACCAACCGAAAUCUUUUCUUUGUUACUCUGAUGUUAGGUCUCUUAGCUAUUGCUAUAGGUAAAUAUCUUUUUUUUUUUCAU
rnacentral:sRNA from 1 species